ensembl:snoRNA SNORA63 Small nucleolar RNA SNORA63
UAUCAAGAUUAAACUAUAAUAUAGCUGGCAUGUGCUAUAUUGUCAUCCCCCCUGCUUAAGAAAAUAUUGUUUCUUAACUAUACCUGACUGCUAUGUAGCAGCCAGGGAUGCUUCAUCUUAUACAU